rnacentral:tRNA from 1 species
GAACAAGAAGUAAUAUUAUACACUUAGUUUCGACCUAAACCCAAGGCCCAACAGCCCUUGUUCU